rnacentral:sRNA from 1 species
UCAGAACAAUUGUAGGGAUGUCGUCCGG